rnacentral:rRNA from 1 species
GAUGAACGCUGGCGGCGUGCUUAACACAUGCAAGUCGAACGAAGCACUUUAUUUGAUUUCCUUCGGGACUGAUUAUUUUGUGACUGAGUGGCGGACGGGUGAGUAACGCGUGGGUAACCUGCCUUGUACAGGGGGAUAACAGUUGGAAACGGCUGCUAAUACCGCAUAAGCGCACGGCAUCACAUGAUGCAGUGUGAAAAACUCCGGUGGUAUAAGAUGGACCCGCGUUGGAUUAGCUAGUUGGUGAGGUAACGGCCCACCAAGGCGACGAUCCAUAGCCGACCUGAGAGGGUGACCGGCCACAUUGGGACUGAGACACGGCCCAAACUCCUACGGGAGGCAGCAGUGGGGAAUAUUGCACAAUGGGCGAAAGCCUGAUGCAGCGACGCCGCGUGAGCGAAGAAGUAUUUCGGUAUGUAAAGCUCUAUCAGCAGGGAAGAUAAUGACGGUACCUGACUAAGAAGCACCGGCUAAAUACGUG